AUUGAACGCUAGCGGCAGGCCUAACACAUGCAAGUCGAGCGAGCGGCGGGCGGGUGUGUAAUGUCUGUGAAACUGCCUGCUGUAGGGGGAUAACUCCUGGAAACGGUCGCUAAUACCCCAUACCAUCAGAUGUGCCCCGAUGGGAUUAGCUCGUAGGUGGGGUAAUGGCUCACCUAGGCGACGCUCCCUAGCUGGUCUGAGAGGAUGACCAGCCACACUGGGACUGAGACACGGUCCAGACUCCUACGGGAGGCAGCAGUGGGGAAUAUUGGACAAUGGGGGCAAGCCUGAUGCAGCCAUGCCGCGUGUGUGAAGAAGGCCUUCGGGUUGUAAAGUACUUUCAGCGGGGAGGCGGUACCCGCAGAAGAAGCACCGGCUAACUACGUGCCAGCAGCCGCGGUAAUUC
rnacentral:rRNA from 1 species